AACAGGACGUUGGUGAUCACCUGGUCAGACUCCCUCCCACACUGGGAGGAAGUGAGGCCCAGAGAAGUUUGAUGAGCAGACAGGAUGGAAAUCAGGAGAGCAGGAGUUUCUCCGACCAAUGCACAGAUGAGUUAAACUCCAGGUGCUCUGCACAGGUCCUACACAGAGUUGGUGCUCGAUAAAUGAACGCGCCAUGAAAGAAUUGAGUCAGCGGAGAGGGGAAGUUCUGGAAGAGGAGGUGAUUGAUGGUCCUUAAUCCUGGAAACCUCUUUAACAAAGAAAAUACUUCAUCAUGUGAUGUGGAAAUUGAGUCCGAGAAGAGAGGUCGGGACUUGCCUAAGAUCAUUGAUUUAUGCCAGCACAAACUCCAGUGGCAGUCUUCAGAUCUGAGGGGGGUGCUUAUAGGAACACCCCUUCCCUAAGGGGGCAGGACCAGAAGAAAGGGCUUUGAAUUGCGAACAAAAGGAUCCAGGUGAGAUAUAAGGAAGAAUCCCAGCUGUAAGAAUGGGUAACAUAAGAAGACUGGAACCGCCUUCUCUGGGAUGGGAUGAGAUCCCCUCCAGGGGGUUGCCUGAAAUGAUCUCAGCACUGCAUCUCCCAGGGGCACUGCUCUCACACCAGUCCUUUUCUUUGGGAGUCCAAGGGAUUCAGGAUCCCUCUCCCAGAGACCGGCGCCAUGGCUGGUGGCUGGGGGAACUUGAGAGGCCAGUCCUGGAACAGGUGCAACAGCUGGAACAACUGCGCAGCUGUUACCCAGCUCCUGCUCAGCAGCCAGCUAGCCAGUGAGUGAGACAGAGACCUCUACUGGUGGGAGUGAGGAAGUGCAGAACCACCUAGACAGACCCAGAGAGGGGGCCUGCCUGGAGCCAGAUGUCAAGCCUUCACUCAGGUGUCCCCCUCCCCCGUGUAAAUCUGGACAGGUAGAUGGGGAUGCAACUAAGCUGAAAAGCAGGGCAGGGUCCCUGCCGGUGGGUCCCCCUACACACCCACUGUUCUAGGCCUCCUAAGUACUGGAGGGGCCACUCCUGGUGUCUGAGGAUCUAUUGACUCCUCCCUAGCAGGACAGGAGUACAAGGCUGCAGACCUAAACACCCUGACUUCCUUUCCCGGAGCCCAGAACAGACUCAGAAUCAAGGCAACAGCAUCUUUGGAUCUUAGAGUCUUAGAAUCACGGGAUAUUAAAGCCAGAAGUGUCCUCAGUGA